AGAUCAAGCACAAGGCCCAGCAGAAAGCAUCAGGAGACUAAGAUCCAGGACCCAAAAAGGAUGAGGACAGCAAGACAACUGGACCCCAAGCUCACCACCUCAGGGCUCGAGGGGUGCCAGCCCCUGCCACUCUGCCUCACUGCCAGUCAGAGCUGCUGCGGCAUGGUGUGCAGUCCUGAGGAGGCCCACAGUCAGAUCUAGGGGAGGAGGUGUCAAGUAUAAAGGGUCAGGCAGCAGCUGGGCAUCUGUCACUCUCACUCUGAGGCUGGAGGAGGAGACUGGAGUUGACAGGGUACAGGGUCAGGAGGACAGCAAUACAGAGCCUGCCCCGGGGCCUGAGGAGGUCUGGGCUCUGGGCCUCUGUCAGGGCUGUGAGGGGGAACGUGCUGGUGGUCCUGGGAUUGGGAAGGCUGCUGAGACCUAGCUAGAAGUGCAGAGAAAACAGCCGGGCUCUGCUUCUAACUGCUGCAUGACCUUGGGCAAUCAAUGAACCUCCCUGGAGCUCUAUUUCCCCUGCUGUGAAACGUGGGCGGCUUCAGGAUGGCAUAGAGAAGGAGCAUGGGGCUAGGAGUCAAAGGAUCCAGGGCUUAAAUACCUCUCCAUGUCUUACUAGCUGUGAGCUGGUAGUCAGGUCACUUGUUAUCUCUGGCCUCAGUGUCCUUAUCUGCAAAAGAAGACAGUAAUCUCCGUGCAUUGCUAUGGAAAUGAAGUGAGCAUUACACAGCCUGGAACCUGGUAGGCCCUCCAUGGACUAGCUGGAACUGAGCUCUCUUCUAGCUCUCAAAAGUUGAGCAUAGGAUUCUGAAAUGAGCCAAUACCACCACCAUUACCACCUCCACCACCCCCAAUACAGUCACCACCUCCAUCCUCGCCACCAUCACCACCAAUAACACCACCAAUACGAUCACCACCUCCACCAUCACCUCCCUCACCAUCACAACCUCCAUCACCCCCACCAUCACCAUCGUCACUAUCACCAACACCAUUAUCCCUGCCUUCACCACCACCACCUCCACCACCACCAAUACCGUUGUCACCUCAACUACCUCAUCACCACCACUACCAUUACCACUAUCCCACAACCACCACACACAAAAUAAUGCUUUUUUCAACUUGAGACCCAGAGAGAAGGAAAACAGGGUGAAGAACGGUGCUGUUUCUCUGGAACGUUCAGGUGGUCCAGGAGGCAAUGCCAGGCCUUUGCACCUUCCUUCCUCCGAAUAGAGGCUCCCUCCAGAGAAGAACCCAACUUCCUUGUAGGACGGCAUGAAGCACAGAUUCCUGGUGCUUGGACUGCUGGGUCCUCCUGCACUCCCAGUCCCCUGCCCAAGCUUCCUCCCCAUGCCAGUGAGGAGAGAUGCAGUAUAUACCACUGGCAAAGGGGCAAGGGAAUGGCCAGCAUGAGCCAGACACCAUCUUUGGUGUGUUAUAUCGUUAAUCUCAUUUGAUGCUGAUGGUACCACUGUGAUGGAUAUUAGUCAC
rnacentral:lncRNA from 1 species